GAUGAACGCUGGCGGCGUGCCUAAUACAUGCAAGUCGAGCGAACGGACGAGAAGCUUGCUUUUCUGAUGUUAGCGGCGGACGGGUGAGUAACACGUGGAUAACCUACCUAUAAGACUGGGAUAACUUCGGGAAACCGGAGCUAAUACCGGAUAAUAUUUUGAACCGCAUGGUUCAAAAGUGAAAGACGGUCUUGCUGUCACUUCUAGAUGGUUCCGCGCUGCAUAAGCUAGUUGGUAAGGUAACGGCUUACCAAGGCACCGAUGCAUAGCCGACCUGAGAGGGUGAUCGGCGACACUGGAAGUGAGACACGGUCCAGACUCGGACGGGAGGCAGCAGUAGGGAAUCUUCGGCGAUAGGCGAAAGCCUGACGGCGCAACGCCGCAUGAGUGAUGAAGGUCUUCCGAUCGUAAAACUCUGUUAUUAGGGGAGGACAUAUGUGUAAGCAACUGUGCACAUCUUGACGGUACCUGGUCAGAAAGCCACGGCUAACUACGUG
rnacentral:rRNA from 1 species